rnacentral:rRNA from 1 species
CAGUCGCCGCGGUAAUACGUAGGGUGCAAGCGUUAAUCGGAAUUACUGGGCGUAAAGCGUGCGCAGGCGGUUAUAUAAGACAGAUGUGAAAUCCCCGGGCUCAACCUGGGAACUGCAUUUGUGACUGUAUAGCUAGAGUACGGCAGAGGGGGAUGGAAUUCCGCGUGUAGCAGUGAAAUGCGUAGAUAUGCGGAGGAACACCGAUGGCGAAGGCAAUCCCCUGGGCCUGUACUGACGCUCAUGCACGAAAGCGUGGGGAGCAAACAGGAUUAGAUACCCGCGUAGUUCUGUCUCUUAUACC